AACGAACGCUGGCGGCAUGCCUAACACAUGCAAGUCGAACGAGACCUUCGUGUCUAGUUGCGCACGGGUGCGUAACGCGUGGGAACCUGCCCUUAGGUUCGGAAUAACUCCCCGAAAGGGGUGCUAAUACCGGAUAAUUUCUUCUGACCAAAGAUUCAUCGACUUUGUAUGGGCCCGCGUUGUAUUAGCUAUGUGGUAGUGUAAAAGCCUACCAAGGCGACGAUCCAUAGCUGGUCUGAGAGGAUGAUCAGCCACACUGGGACUGAGACACGGCCCAGACUACUACGGGAAGCAGCAGUGGGGAAUAUUGGAAAAUGGGGGAAAGCAUGAUCCAGCAAUGGCGCGUGAGUGAUGAAGGCCUUAGGGUUGUAAAGCUCUUUUACACGGGAUGAUAAUGACAGUACCGGGAGAAUAAGCUCCGGCUAACUCCGUG
rnacentral:rRNA from 1 species